rfam:Paraprevotella clara CAG:116 genomic scaffold, scf151
GCAGUAGGCCGGCUUGCCGCUGCCGGUUUCGGCCGGGAGAGGAAAGUCCGGGCAACACAGGGCAUUCCACUUCUUAACGGGAAGUAAUCCGCGAGGGUUAGAGCGUGCAGAAGAAAAGAACCGCCGUCCGCAAGGACGGUAAGGGUGAGAAGGCGGGGUAAGAGCCCACCGGCCGGAUGGCGACAUCCGGGCCGUGCAUUCUGGAAGUUGAAAGUUCGCGUAUACCGGCGCCACAAGAGAGGGCGGCCCGCCCGAGCCGGAGGGUAGAACGAUAGAGCCUUACGGUGACGCAAGGUCUGGAUAAAUGGCAAGCACUUCGUUUCAUACGAGGUACAGAACCCGGCUUACAGGCCGACUGCUUUU